rnacentral:rRNA from 1 species
UUGACCUCGAUCAGGUACGCAUCCAAU